rnacentral:lncRNA from 1 species
UAAAUCCAAAUAAAAUCCAGUUUUUUUUAACUGUAUUCUAAAAGUUCCAAUAACUUCCACUGUAACCUUUUUGUCAUCACCUACAAAGAUGAAUCUUUCAUCAUCACUUGGCAGUCGACUCCACAGGCAACCUUGCAUAGUCAUACUUAUGUGAGUAGUAACACCAAAAUCUACCCACCAAGUAUCUUUAGGUAAAAAAGCCAAAUUAACUUAUGAACAAACUAGAGUAAGAAAUUUACCUUUCUUCACACGCCAUGUGGCAUACUUGGGACACUCUUUCUUCAUGUGUCUCGACUUCUUGUAGAAGUAACAGGCAAAUUCUUCAUCCUUAUUUUG